GGGGAAUAUUGCGCAAUGGGGGAAACCCUGACGCAGCAACGCCGCGUGAAGGAUGAAGGUUUUCGGAUUGUAAACUUCUUUGAUGAGGGACGAUAAUGACGGUACCUCAAAAACAAGCCACGGCUAACUACGUGCCAGCAGCCGCGGUAAUACGUAGGUGGCAAGCGUUGUCCGGAAUUACUGGGUGUAAAGGGCGUGUAGGCGGGGAUGCAAGUCAGAUGUGAAAUUCCGGGGCUCAACCCCGGCGCUGCAUCUGAAACUGUAUCUCUUGAGUGCUGGAGAGGAAAGCGGAAUUCCUAGUGUAGCGGUGAAAUGCGUAGAUAUUAGGAGGAACACCAGUGGCGAAGGCGGCUUUCUGGACAGUAACUGACGCUGAGGCGCGAAAGCGUGGGGAGCGAAC
rnacentral:rRNA from 1 species